UGAGUGAGACUCAGCCUCCCGUGACCUUGAGUGAGACUCAGCCUCCCUGGGCCUUGACCUGCUCCCUGGUUGACGCCAGCAGCCUUGGCAGCUGCGCCUGGACCCUGCCGGGUGUAGGUGGGCUGUGUCACAGCAGAUCCCAGCUGGUGCAUCUGCCCCGUCGUCCCUCCUGGGAGAGUGGAUGCCAGGCACGGGGACAGCCCCUCCCCCAUGGCCUACGGCCCCUCUGGAGCUGUGCACUUCCCCUGGCUGCCCUCGCCCCUGCUCCCAGGAGGCCACCCACCCCUGUACAGGCAGGUGCUGCCUGGGCCCAGACCUCCCCUCCAGGAGGGGAGGAAGCUUCCUCAGGAAGCAGGGCUUUUGGUGUCCCCAGGCCUGGCGGGGUUCUGGUCUCUGUGACCUUGGUCAUGUGAGUGAGCUCCUGGGGGCUCAUGUCCCCAAGUGACGCAGCAGAGAGGUGGCCCUGGUAUGCACAGUAGCAGGGGAGGCCUGCUUGUCCCCGCCCCCCAGCAGAGGCCUUGGUGGCAGGGACAGGGUGUAACUCGAGUGUACUUGCUCUGGGGCUGGCUGGUGACAGAUGGGUGAUAAAGGGUAGAACAUAGUUCCUGGGGCCUGGGCCUGGGGAGUGUCACCGCCAUGCCACAGUGCUGGGGAGGGUGCCUGUCUGACGGGUGCUGCCCCUCGCUCUGGUCCAAAUGGGGCCCCAAAGACCCUCUGAGCAUUCUUGGGGCUGGUCCAAGUGCCCCACCUCAUCUUGAAGCUGUUGGGAGCUGGUGACAGCCCCAUGCCCCGUCUGUCCACCUGCCAUCCCUCCUCUAAGCCCCGGCCCCUCCCCGGCCUCCAGGGCCUGUGGAGGAAGGAGCUCACUGGCUGCUCUGCUCCCUCCGUGCCGCCCGCCUACCCCCACAGCCUGUCACCUGCAUCUACAUCCUUGCCCAGGGCGCUGGCCGGGCCCAGGUCCAGUGGCUAGCCUGUGCCGGCCCCAGUGCCCAGCCGGUGCUGCCAGCGGGCCCCUCCUCGGCUCUGACCACCGAUGGACACCCUGUUUGGCACCCACAGCUGCUCCUCGUGUACCCCCACUCCGAAGUUGAGCCCGUGGGCAUGCAGGACCCAGGCCCACAGUCCUGGAGGGCAGGUGCUCGGAGCCCGCUGUCCUGCUUGGCAGGUGUGAUUGGCUCCUCAUCUAUAUGAGGAAAGUGCAGCUCAGAGAGGCCAGGCAACCCACCUACUGUCACACAGCCAGGAGGAGGUGCUGGCUCAGGCUCAGUGGCUGCUGCUCAGUAGCCCCAUCUGCAGGUGAGCAUGGCAUCCCCGGGGGAAUUGGAUCUGAGGGGGGCUUUGUGGGCUGCCCCAGGCAUGAGGUCUGCAAGUGGGCAGACCUCUGGGUGACUUAUGGGGUUCAACUGUUUUGAGGGACAGUCGAAGGACAGUGGAGACACCUGUCUCAUAAUGUUCCCUGGAAGCAUAUCCUGCUUAGGUACAGCUAUGGGAUCCCUGAGCCUGGGUGUGCAGGAUGGGAGGGGCAGGGUGAGGGGAGGGACGAUGUCCAGGCCACCAGGGGCCACAAUGGCCACAGACGCCUGGACGUACCACCCAUGCCCAUGCAGGGGUGCUGGGGGGGCACUCCCUGGCUAACCCUGGGGCAGGUGCAACUUCCCCUGUAAGGGCAGGUGGUCAGUUCCUUGCUCCCUGGGCCACACUGAACUCUGCCCUCAGACAUGGGGAUCUGGCGUGUCUGUGUCCCAAUAAAGCUUUAUUCACAAAGACCAGGUGUCCAGCUGGCCCAGGAUGACUUACUGACCCUUGUUCCAGGGAGACCGCCUAGGAGCCUAGGAGGGUGGGGGCAGAGGGAGUCCUAUGCAGCAGGGACAUGUAGGAGGACCAAGGUCUUGACGCCAACAAAGCCCAGAUCCCGGCUCAGCUCUGACCCACCAAAGCCGGAGCUGUUCCCACUGGGCACAGAGCGGGGAGCCCUGGGCAGCUCCUUCCGGUCCUGUCCUUUGACCAGAGAAGGAAGGGCUGGCCCAGGCCUUGGGAGCUGCCUACUGCCUGCUCUCUCUGGAAAGGGAAUGCCACCACUGUCCCGUGGCCAUUUGCUCCGGGUGAUUUGUUAUGCCCACAAAGGCCCAGCAGCUCUUGAUGCCCUUGAGCCCUCUGGUCCCCGCCAGCCGUAUCCCCAGCCCCAUCUGAUAAGGCUUGUCCUGUGCCCUCCACCGAUGGCUGCUCGAUCAGGACGCCACCGGGCCUCCUCGGGGUGGGUCUGAGCUUCAGGGUGCACACAGACACUGAGAGAUGCCCCUGUUCUGUGCCAGGGAUGGGUGAGGGGCCAGGCCCUGCCAUCUCAGGCCUGCCCACGGCCAGAGAAGGGUUCCCAUGCCUGGGCAGCCACACCAUCAAGGAUGAGGAGCCCCAGAUUUGGUCCUGACUCUGCCACUGUCCAGCCAGGGCCCCCUGCUGAGCUCCGUCCUUGCCUUCCACCUGGCUGCGGCCACCCCACCCCACCGUGCUGGGGCUGCGUGGCCUGGCCUCCCCAGCUGCCUCCUGCUGAUGUUGGCUGAGCACCCCUGGGCUGGAGGGGUGAGCCUGCAUGGUGGCCUGCAGGGGCCAGCCCGUGGGGGAGCACAGCCCUCAGACAUGCUCUGAGGUCGACUGACCCAUCUGCACUUUAAGGACCAAGCAGCGAGGGUCCUAACGGUGUCAUGACUUAGGGGUCACAUGGGUAACCAUGGGAGGAGCCGACCCGUUUCCUCAGAUGUCAGGACCAUGAACUUGGCUGGGGGCCAGUGGUGAGGAGCUGGUGCUGCAUGCUGGCUGUCCCUGCCCAGCCCCUAGGAGCAUUUUGGCCCAGCUGGUUGGCACCUGAGUCUUCAAAGGCCACGCCACCAUCCCAUUAGGCCAGAGGCUGCAAGAUAGUGGGGGACGUAAGAGUCCACUUCUGCUGAGCCUAGGUUCAUCUGCUCUGAGCCUGGUAUCACCUCCUGUGUUGAACCUGGGAUCACCUCCUGUGCUGAGCCUAGGAUUACCUCCUGUGCUAUGCCUGGGAUCACCUCCUGUGCUGAGCCUGAUCACCUCCUGUGCUGAGCCUGAUUACCUCCUGUGCUGAGCCUGGGAUCACCUCCUGUGCUGAGCCUGGGAUCACCUCCUGUGCUGAACCUAGGAUUACCUC